CAGUAGCCGCGGUAAUACCGAGGGUGCGAGCGUUAAUCGGAUUUACUGGGCGUAAAGCGUGCGUAGGCGGCUAAUUGAGUCGGAUGUGAAAUCCCCGAGCUUAACUUGGGAAUUGCAUUCGAUACUGGUUAGCUAGAGUGUGGGAGAGGAUGGUAGAAUUCCAGGUGUAGCGGUGAAAUGCGUAGAGAUCUGGAGGAAUACCGAUGGCGAAGGCAGCCAUCUGGCCUAACACUGACGCUGAGGUACGAAAGCAUGGGGAGCAAACAGGAUUAGAUACCCCCGUAGUCCCUGUCUCUUAUAC
rnacentral:rRNA from 1 species